GCCGCAGAGGUUGUUGACCACCUAGUGGAUGCCCUUCGGGGAGGCAUCAGGUGGAGAUCAGGCAGGAAACUGGAGGAGAAGAUGUCGGAGAAGAUGACUGGAGGUGGUCCCGUUGAGCGCUCCUUUAAGAAUAAGGGUACUGUGAAGACACAGUGCCCAUCCUCUAGCGCCAAUCCUGUUGGUGCAAAAAUCCACUGGCGUCGGAGAAGGUGGAGUCGAGGGAGUCGCGGUCGCCGCUGGGACUUGCAAAGAAAGUCUAAACCGGAGUUGGGGGUGCUCUGACAAGACUCUCCGAUGUUCAAGUCAGUUCUCUGCCUCAACAAGAAUGGAGUGCUCGAACGGAAAUUUUAGCAGAGUUUUGAGAUAGAGAUUAGAGCUUAGAGAAUAAUGUAUCUGGGGGUCCCCUUUUUAUAGGUGGAGGGCGUAACAGAUUGACAGCGAUGUCUGUAACCGCCUGGUAGUGGGCCGUUCGGGGCCAUGAGGAGUUUGUUACGGAGAGUAGUAGAGUGGAGUCGUGGCCAUCGCUGUGGCCUGCCAUGUAGAGCCUGUUGUGGAGAGUGGAGUGAUGUCCGUUAUUGUGGCUUGCCAGAGCAUGAUGGAGCCGUGUGGGAUCCAUUACAGGAAGUGGA
rnacentral:lncRNA from 1 species